AUUGAACGCUGGCGGCAUGCCUUACACAUGCAAGUCGAACGGCAGCACGGGUGCUUGCCCCUGGUGGCGAGUGGCGAACGGGUGAGUAAUACAUCGGAACAUGUCCUGUAGUGGGGGAUAGCCCGGCGAAAGCCGGAUUAAUACCGCAUACGAUUUACGGAUGAAAGCGGGGGACCUUCGGGCCUCGCGCUAUAGGGUUGGCCGAUGGCUGAUUAGCUAGUUGGUGGGGUAAAGGCCUACCAAGGCGACGAUCAGUAGCUGGUCUGAGAGGACGACCAGCCACACUGGGACUGAGACACGGCCCAGACUCCUACGGGAGGCAGCAGUGGGGAAUUUUGGACAAUGGGCGAAAGCCUGAUCCAGCAAUGCCGCGUGUGUGAAGAAGGCCUUCGGGUUGUAAAGCACUUUUGUCCGGAAAGAAAUCCUUGGCCCUAAUACGGUCGGGGGAUGACGGUACCGGAAGAAUAAGCACCGGCUAACUACGUG
rnacentral:rRNA from 1 species